CUGGUCAACAGGAUUAUAUACAGACUAGACUGGUCAACAGGUUUUUACAGACUAAACUGGUCAACAUGUUUACACAGACUAAACUGGUCAACAGGUUUUUACACAGACUAAACUGGUCAACAGGUUUCCAUAAAGACUGGUCAACAGGUUUUUAUACAGACUAAACUGGUCAACAGGUUUUUACACAGACUAAACUGGUCAACAGGUUUUUACACAGACUAAACUGGUCAACAGGUUUCUACACAUACUAAACUGGUCAACAUGUUUCCAUAAAGACUGGUCAACAGGUUUCUACACAUACUAAACUGGUCAACAUGUUUCCAUAAAGACUGGUCAACAGGUUUUUACACAGACUAAACUGGUCAACAGGUUUUUACACAGACUAAACUGGUCAACAGGUUUUUAAACAGACUAAACUGGUCAACAGGUUUCCAUAAAGACUGGUCAACAGGUUUUUACACAGACUAAACUGGUCAACAGGUUUCCAUAAAGACUGGUCAACAG
ensembl:lncRNA